rnacentral:misc_RNA from 1 species
CAGUUUGAAUCUUGCAAGAGCUAUCGGUACUUAAGCUGAUUUAUCAUGAACUUCUUUUACACAAAUUAAUUGUUUAAUUAGAUUUUAUGUGAUUGGAUUAUGGUUUCUUUGCCCAUAGACUGGACCCAUGUCCAUCCCUUGUUUAUGUACGUAGGGCUUGGGACUGGGUCCGUAGGAUAUCCGUAAAAGAUAGGUGGUUCAUUCCACUGAGCUCAAUCAUUCCACAUAUUGAAAAGCAAGGCUUAAUGAUAUGAAAUAUCUUGAACUCUGUGUCUUUUUUAAUUUUAUUUUAUGCUUUUAUUUUUAUUAAAUUGGUUCAUAAGUUACUGAUUUUGUUCUAGUUAUAUCCCAAUGGGUUUGGAAUGUGUGUUCACAUUGGCAUGACGUUAGGGUGGACCCAAUAGUUAUUGAAGGUGCAAGGUGCAAGGUGCAGGUGUGCUUCUAAGUGACAUGUGGCACAUCAAAAAUAAAAUAAAAUAAGACAUAUAAUCCUAAAUAAGACUAAAAUGCAAGCUCCAUUAAUAACUAUCAUAAUAAUAGCAUAAACCAUUUAAAGUUCUAGCACUAAGGUGUUAAUAUUAAACAAACACAAAAAUAGAGAUGUUUUUAAGUGAUAACCUAAAUCCUGUAUUCUACUAAAUUGCCUAUUACUGAAUUGCUGUACAACCUAAAACAACUAAAAGACUAUUCCUCAAUCUCCAUCAAGAGUAACAUGGUCGUCAUGUCCAUCUCCAUCAAGAGUAACAUGGUCGUCAUGUCCAUCUCCAUCAUCAUCAUCAUCUUCUUCAAGACUUCCAAUGUUCUCUUCUUCUCCAUCCUCAUUAUAGUGAUCUCCUCUUUCUCAUCAAAACCACUCCUCAAUCUCUUCUUCAUCCUCAUCUCUAAGUACUAGAAGAGUAUUGGCUCUCAAAUUAGAAGAUGGUGCUUUUGCCAUUUCCUGAGGCCUAACACUUGGAGUGGAUGUAGGCAGAACAUUUUUGUCUUUUGUUGCUUUAGUAUUUUAGACAUUCUUCUCAACUCCAGUAGCUUUUGCAACCACACCCCAGGUUAAAUUAUAAUCUUCAAGCACAACUUCAUCCUUAUCAUCCAAGAGGAAAUUGAUUUGGUAAGCUCAAUCUUGCUUAUUCUGUUCAGAGAAGAAAAUAAAAUCCCUAAGCUUUCAACGUUCAAUUUGAUCUGCAAGUCUGCUGUUUCCUUUUUUUUCUUCAUAACUGUUUCUGUGAUUUGAUGUGGAUGAGUCUAUGGUCAGCCGACCUAUAAAGUAGGUCAAAUGAUGGAUGUUUGAUCUUAAUAAUAUUUAAAACACACACACACACGCAUGCAUCAAGCAUAAAUGAAUGACAGGCGCGCUCCUUAGUGACAUUCAAAGUUGCCAGAGGCACUAGGCUUUGAGCCACAAGCACACCUUUGACAACUAUGGGUGGAUUUUUGACAUGGAAGAAAAUGAUAGCUUGGCUAUUCCUCCUAAACCUUAAGUGCCACUAAAGAGGGUAUUAGUAAUUUAUGAAUCUCAAAAAACAUUUCAAACUACUUCAUGAGAGAGGCGUAUUUUUUGAAAAUGGCUUUUAAGGCUUAAGAGAGGCUUACUUCCAAAUUAACAAGUUGUGUCAAUGUUUGCCUUCAUCUCGACAUGAAGUUAGUACACUAGAUUCACAAAAAGCAAUUUGUUUGCAAAGCACGUGAAGAUGUUUGCAUGUCAAUUAGUAGGUGUCCAGAUUUACGUGCGUUGUUAUGCAUUUGGUACUCUCUUCUAUUCUUCAUAUUUUUCUGUGUAAUACAGGUGACAUGGAAUUCAAGCAGAA